rnacentral:sRNA from 1 species
CUUACUUUGGAACUCUCUAAGAUCAGCCCUGUGUCCACGGAUUGGCACAACCAUCAAGGAACGAUGGUUCGAAGGAAUGUCGCAGGAUGCGAUUCAUCAGGAUGAUGAAAAGGAAUACAGGGACUAGGGAAAAAAUGUGGGCGGGUCAUACCGCCCCUUUUUUU